rnacentral:rRNA from 1 species
GACGAACGCUGGCGGCGUGCUUAACACAUGCAAGUCGAACGGUGAAGCGCCGCCCUUUUUGGUUGGUGUGGAGGAGUGCCGAACGGGUGAGUAUCACGUGAGUAACCUGCCCCCUUCUGCGGGAUAACCGCAUGAAGGUGUCGCCAAUACGGGAUAUUCUGAGUCUGUCGCAGGGUGGGUCUGGGGAAGAUAUUGUUUCGGUGGGGGCUGGUCUCGCGGCCUAUCAGCUUGUUGGUGGGGUGAUGGCCUACCAAGGCGGUGACGGGUAGCCGGCCUGGGAGGGUCGACGGCCUCACAGGGGCUGAGACACCGCGCGGACUCCUACAGGGAGCAGUAGUGGAGAAUAUAGAACAGUGGGCACAAGGCUGCAGCAGCGACGCGGCGGGGGCGAUGGAGGCCUGCGGGUUAUGAACCUCUUUCGGGAGUGAAGCGGGCCUGCCUCGUAUGUUGGUGGAUUGACGGUAGCUGGAGAAGAAGCACCGGCUAACUACGUG